UCAUCCGUAACCUUUGACGUUGGAGCCGCAGCAGCCAGCUGUUACAAAUCGCGUCACUUCUCGCCAGCUGAUCGGAGACGCCGGCCGAGUGAGAGACGCCUAGAAAAAGACCCAGAAUCGCUUUUCUCCUUACCGAGGCAGGCGGUCGGUCGGGCGAGUACUCCGGACUGGCGAGGAUGGAUCCAGUGUUGUGGGACUCUUGGCUAACCUACAUUAGUUCUUCUCUGGCAAACUUUAUGUUCCUAUUCACAUGCUAAAGCUGCCAGCUGAAGAGCUGUUGUGGUCAGCUUUGACCUGCUCCUGCUUUCCAAAACUUUUGGCACUUUUUGUUCUUAUCGACAGUAACAUCCUGCUCCUGAUUUUCAUGUUGUGACGUAUGUGAAUAUACAAAACCUGCAAAUGUAUUCGCUCCCUUCUCGAACCUUUUCCAUACCGUAACAUCCAGUAUUGGUGAAUACGUUGUUCUGUAGAAAAAAAAAACAUAAGCAUUUUCAUAAGAAACAAUAUUUUCCUUCUUUUAAUUAUUCGCUUGUGGUUUAUUGUGUAGGUUCACUGUGGUCUGCUUCAUUAACUCUGUCUACAUAAAUAUAAAAGCUAGCAUUAAAUUAAAGGGUAAAGAAAUGUAAUAAAUAAGAAGCAUUAAACACUAGAUAGCGGUCCUUGUUACUGGAUUGCUGAUGUACUGAAUAUAAUCAAACUGUAUGAAGAAUUUUGUUAAUAAUGUUUAAUAUGUUCCUAUAAUUAUGCAAGCAGGGCUUCUUCUGAUUUUAUGAAAGCUUUUUUUUUUCUUUGUAUUUCUUUGAUGUUAGAAAUUAAAUGAAGAAGAUCCAGAUGAAAGAAAUUUACAGAACAUUUGUUUCUUUAUUUAAUCCUAGUUUUCUUCAUUGACAUAUUUGAUUUACACAAAAGUUGAUUUAAAAAAAAAAGAAAAGCCAAAGAAAUUUCUGACCCGCUUCCUGAAUACUUGGUAGCACCGCUGCUGUCUGUAUUUACAGGUGCGGGACUUCCGGGGUUCCGUUUAUUUCACUUUUGCACAUCUGGAUGCUGAUGUAAAUUCUGCCCUGUUGGAUGGAGGCCAUUUUUUAAGUCCUGCCUCACAUUUUUAACCAGUCUGCAGUCUGAGCUUUGACUGGGUCAUGCGAACGUUGUUAGAAGACGUUUUUUUAAACCGUUCCGCUCCCCAUGACACUAUGCUACCACCACCAUGCUUCACUUCUGGGUUACGAACAGGGUCAAGUUGUCACCAAAUGUAACCCUAGGUUAGCCGAGUCUCUGUGUCUUCAUUGUGCCUUUUGGUUCUCUAAAAGAGAGACCGCAUGUCCGGGGAACAGUGUGUCAUGUGAACACAGGGUAUCAUCUGAGAUCUCUCCAGUUCCUUCACGCUUCUUCGUUGCUUCUCUAAUUCUUUACUCAUCAGAUCGCUGAAUUGGUGCACGUCUGCUUGCGGUUGUUCAGAAUUCUAUACAAAAGACAAAGCUAAUGUUUUUGUUCUUGUUGAUGUUGCUAAGCUUUUGUAGUGACAACAUGUGAAUGAAUCACAUGACACAGAUGGUAUUUUGGCCCCAAGGCAAAACCCAGAGAGUAAAGUAAGAUAAAAGUCUUGCUAACUUUUAAAAUGGUUGAAAUGCGAGUCGGUGUCUUUGAGGUCUUCUGGGAUUUUUUCAUAUGCUGUAUAUGAGGAGAAAAUUUGCAUUUCAGGAGCCUUGUGUACUUUUGUACAAAUAAAGAAAUGACACCGUGUUCUUUUACAUAAUUCAUUUGACCUUUUCUGACUCCUGUUAUUCAGGUUCAUGCUAAACUUUUUGAUGUAAAUAAAUUCCAUUGCCACAGA